AGUGACCCCCUCUUAUUAGUGGUCUGGUCUUCUUUAGCCGAGUGACCUGAAACGUCACGUUCCGUCCUGCAGGGCACAGCGCAAGGCGAUGGUGCAGUUUUGUUGACGUCUGUAUGUCGUAACGUAAAGCACAGUUGAAAACUAAUAGGGGGAUACACUAGCACCAAACAUGGCUCUGUUGACAAGAGGAGUAGCCAGAAUCAUCACGUCAGGGCAGGUGACUAAACUCCUGUCCACCACAAGCAUGAAGUCCCUUAGCUGUGGAAGAGCCCUGUCAUUCAAUGUGUCCCGGAUGGCAUCCUCCAUGAGAUGUACUGGGAGGAAGGCUGAGGUGUCCCCACCCUCGCACAGGUGGUUCUCUACACCAGCUGCUGAAAGUGUCAGGACUGCCUCAGCUAUUGAAAAGGUACGGCUGGAUUCAGAUGGGGUAGUAGAAGUGGAAUGGUCCAGUGGAGGGGUGAGCAGCUUCCCCUAUGUGUGGCUGAGAGACAACUGUCAGUGUCCAGAUUGUCACAGUGCCAUGACUGGUUUCCGCCGUGUGAUGAUCAAGGAUAUCGACCCGUCUAUUGCACCGGUCACAGCAGAAGUUGUGGAUGGCAAAAGCAUCCAGCUUGAGUGGCCGGACGGACACAGGAGUGAGUUUGACUGGCAGUGGCUGCAGGACAGGAGCUUUACCCAGGAGGCACGGGACCAGAGGAGGGAGGCCAAACGCAGAAAGCUGCAGCUGUGGGGCUCAGAACAGUUGGAAAAGCUGCAGCCUGUGGAGUUUGAUGCUCUGAUGACGGAUGAGAUGGCCCUGUACGACUUCUUCAACACCAUCGACACUGUGGGCCUGGCACUCACAAGAAACGUUCCCUGUAAGGUUGGGCAGCAACAGAGGCUGGCAGAAAGGAUUGCCUAUCUGCGACCUACUCAUUAUGGUCUGCAUGAAAGCUCCGUCUACUCCAAACCAAACACCAGUAACCUGGCAUUUACAGGCCAGCGUCUCCACUGCCACACAGACAUGCCGCAGUACUCAUCACCAGCAGGGAUUUUGCUGCUUCACUGUGUCCAGGAGGCUGAAGAGGGAGGAGAAAAUGAGCUGAUUGAUGGGUACCAUGCUGCCUAUCAGCUGAAGGAAAAAGAUCCUGAAGCCUUCCACGCUUUGACAACCACCCCAGUCUCUUUUGCCAUGCACGGCAAAGAUUACAUUCGCUAUGAUUUGGAGAAAACACGUCCUAUUAUCAGUUUGAACUCUGAAGGAGAGGUAGUUCGUAUUUGCUAUGCCAACCAGCUGCGCUCUGCUCUCAUGGACGUCCCAGUGGAGCGGGUGCAGCCAUUCUACAGGGCCAUGAGGGCGUGGGACGACGUUCUAUACCACCCAGACAACUGUAUCCUCACCAAACUCAACGCUGGUGAGAUGGUGGUGUUUGACAACUGGCGCCUAGUGCACGGCCGGCGCGGCUUCCAGGGCGGACGCCAUGUCCAGACGGCGUACAUGGACUGGGACGAGGUUCGCUCCUUCCUGGGCGUGGUCAGGAGAGAGCGGAACCUCAACAAUUGAUGGCUGCCUGACUGUGACUUGUCCUGGUGUAGGAUGGAGGGUUUUUACAGUAAUCCCCUCUCCUGUGUGUGUACCAUAGAUUUACAAUAAUUCUUUCAUUUUGGCUUGGGAUGUUCAAAUUCCACAUGGCAAGUUUUGUCCCAAAUUGUCUUAAUGACUAUUUCAGCUUUAACUGCAAAAAUGGUUUGAACUUAAGUUGAAUCAAAUACAAAAUGUAGAAGAUUGCACUUUUAGGCUGAUCACAACCUUCAUAAUAUAGGCAGUGCUAAUUCUUAACGAUUAUCUUUUAAAACUGUGCACAAGUGAACUGUAGAUCUGGUAAAGCAUGAAUGAAUGAAAGUAUGAAUGGACACCUAUAUGCCAAAGGACAGGCAAGACAUUUUUCUGGGGUUUUCUCAGAUUGUAUUGCCCAACUACUUAAGUCUGAAAUCCAGCUCCAAAAAAAGCAUGUGUAGUCAGUGAAAAUGAAAUUGAGUACUUAACCUCCAUAAAGGUAGCCUUGCACUAUAGAAAUCACCUGCUGCUUCUGUUAACAGGGACAGGAAAGAAUGGUAAUGAUUAUGACUUACAACUACAACUAGUGUGACAAUGCACUGGUCUAUGGUGUUCAUACGAUGUUCCAUUUCACAGCAUCGCACACAAAUAUGAGCCAGAGAGAUGAGGAAAGUCUGAUUUUUAUUGGAGCUUUCUACGAGUGAGCCAUAUCUUGAUUACAGUCAGGCAUCAACUGCCUGUUAACCUAACUUUUGUUGUCUGUAACUGGUCAAAACUGUUGUUUCUCCCUCAGAGUGUUUGGGAAAACAUUUCAAAGUACAUUAUUGUCAUAUAUAAGUCGCCGUGUACAAUGGAGCUUACGUCAAUGGUGAUUUGCUUUAACCUAGCUGUGUAUCAGAUGACAUCAUAUUGUCUUGUACAUGUAAUUGUAGGCCAAAUUAAUAAUUGAGAAUGAAUAUUGCAGAAACAGAAGCCCAUAUUGGGUUUGAUGAAAUUUAGGCAUCACUAGUUGGUGUCUCACCUUGUGACUACACUGGCAUCACUUUGCAAUUCUUGUGCGUGUAACGUUAUCUGCAUCAGCAUUCUAACUGGUAUUGAAGGAGAGGUGUGAUUUUAAGUGGUUUGUCUUUAACAUGCCAAAGCACUGAUAAGGAUACUGUUUGCCAUUAGAAAGUAAGUUUUUUCUGUGAAAGUGUUUGAAUUGGAAGUGAUUUGAAACUGGGUAAGUGACAUUUGCCAUCAACUGCAGCAUGUUUGCCACAGUUCUGGACCAGCUGUGUUUGUAUCAUGCACUGCAGUGGGCAUUCUAUAGGGGGCGCUGUUACAAGUCUCCUGCAGACAAGGAGAUGUUCAGUAGCCAUUUGUGUUUGUUCAACACUUUAAUACCAUCUCAUUUGUAAAAAUGAUCUAUUGAACAAGUUAUAAUCCUGUCAAACCUGUACAGGUGACCAUUUCAACAUGAGGACCACCUGGCCAAUAGACCAGAUUGAAUGAAUGAAUGAACUUUAUUGCACGACAUUUGUACAUGGUACAAUUGUAAGGCAACAGUAAUAAGUCAAUUAAUACAAUGAUACUCGUCUAAGGUCUAUAACUACAUACAUGUAUAGUACAGGAAUGUGAACAUGAAUGGCGUAUUGAUAUAGUGUAAUAUGCAAGUUAAACAUUUUAUUGGUCCACUUGUGGUCUUCUUGGGCAGUUUGUAGCUUGAUCCCUUUAUGUCAAGUAACUUUCCCUAGCUUGAUUUUAUUCCAGUCAACUAGAAAAAAAGGUAGGUUUAAAAGUUAUGAGAUUUUAUUCCAUUCUACCAGAAAAGGACUCCAGAAAAGGACAACCAGAAAAGUCAAUAUGUUUACCUUCUGGGCACGUUAAAUAAAGAUUCUAGGCAGUGUUCCAGGUAUAUAUAGCCCCAAACCUGCUUCAGGUUUACAUAACCCCAUGUAGACAAUGUUGUAUACAACCAGGCACAUUGGUAUCAGAUGUAAACAUACUUUGAGGUUAGCAGAAAAUUACCACUUAUAUUGCCCUCACAUUACACAUGAUUUGUGUCAAAAGUUAUGCAUAGGAGGUAAUGUUAGUCUCCCUUCCAUACUGUGUAAGUACAGACUACAGACCUUCCUCAGGAAUACAGCAAAAGAUGUGCUCAUGGUAGCCUUUUGAAAGGGUGUGGUGUAGCCUCCUUAGCAGGCUUACGAGAGUUACCUUUUUUUCUCUCUUAUUAUCAUCAUGCUGAAUUAUGUAAAGAUCACAUAUGAAAUGAGAAAUAAAUUAUUACCUGUCCCUUGUGAA